AGCUGGUGGCCAAGUGGUUAAGGUGUUGGACUUAAGAUCCAAUGGAUGCAUGCCCAUGUGGGUUUGAACCCCACUUCUGGUAG